rnacentral:rRNA from 1 species
UACGUAGGGUGCGAGCGUUAAUCGGAAUUACUGGGCGUAAAGCGUGCGCAGGCGGUCUGUUAAGACCGAUGUGAAAUCCCCGGGCUUAACCUGGGAACUGCAUUGGUGACUGGCAGGCUUUGAGUGUGGCAGAGGGGGGUAGAAUUCCACGUGUAGCAGUGAAAUGCGUAGAGAUCUGGAGGAAUACCGGUGGCGAAGGCGGCCCCCUGGACAAAGACUGACGCUCAGGUGCGAAAGCGUGGGGAGCAAACAGG